rnacentral:rRNA from 1 species
UACGUAGGGGGGCAAGCGUUGUCCGGAUUUAUUGGGCGUAAAGAGCGUGUAGGCGGUCAGGUAGGUCCGUUGUGAAAACUCGAGGCUCAACCUCGAGACGUCGGUGGAAACCGUUUGGCUAGAGUCCGGAAGAGGAGAGUGGAAUUCCCGGUGUAGCGGUGAAAUGCGCAGAUAUCGGGAAGAACACCCGUGGCGAAGGCGGCUCUCUGGGACGGUACUGACGCUGAGACGCGAAAGCGUGGGGAGCGAACAGG